GGUAUUAUUUUCAAAUAUUUCUGUGUAACUGAAUUUAUAAUCUUUACCCGAAUAGAAUGCCAAUGACAGUUUGCCAAUAUUAAGGGGUGCGUCUUCCAAAUAAGGAGUGAAGUAACUCAAAACGAAACCUGCAAAAAGCUCAGCCAAGCCAAGAACGAUGACGAUGAAUAACGCCAUUAAUUUAGCCACCGUGAAAACGUUCUGGACACGCAUGGCUCCCCGUACACUGGCGCAGCUAAUACCGGUCAAAAGGCCUUUAAGACAACAGGCAGCAAGGAGACGAACUGCCGUGUAAGGUACGGGACAGUCACCGAAGAUGGGUUGUAGCAUAUAGGUGGCGAAAGUGAGAGCAACAACUGCUUGCGAUGCUGGCUUUAUGAUCAGUGUAAUAACCCAAAGUGUGAGAAAAGCGGGUAGUGACCCAAACGCCUCUAAAAUGUAGGCGUAAUCACCACCACUUCUGGAUAUGAUUGUGCCCAAUUCCGCGUAACAAAGUGCUCCACCGGCAGAAAAGAUUCCCGACAGUGCCCAUACUACUAACGCCGCCCCAGUCGAUCCAGCAUUGGCCAAUACUCCUUUAGGAGAGAUAAAUAUCCCUGAACCUAUGAUACUUCCCACUAUGAUGGCAACACCGUUGGCUAAGGUAAUCUUUCGACGUUUAUCCUUUUUCCGAGUGAAAGUAGAAAUUUACAAUUAGUGGAUUAAUUAAGAUCUUUGAUUUCAAAGCGGUACCAUUUUAUUCAUUGAUUUCCACUUACUUGUACCGUUUCCGUAACUUCAUCCUUAGUUUCUUCUGGCUUUUGACGUUUUUUGGUGAAGCGCUGAAUUAAAUUUUGACAUGAAAUGGUGUUGGCAUCUUCCUCGCACUCGUCAGAAUCCAUUUAGAAAAAAAAGGUGGUUAGCAGCGUAGACACGUCUUUACCCUUUCGAACCAAGUUGAAGACUAAAAGCAACAGACAGACGCCACCCCUAGCUCUAUGGUGUUAGUUUCACCACCAACACCAAGACACGGUGAAGGCGUAGAUAGGACGGAAUAUAAAAGAAGCCGUGUAAGUUUUUUGCUUGUUGCUAUCAUGUAAUGAAGAAAGGAGACAGUGUACAGAUAGGGUAACAAUAUAUUUGCAGAUAGGGCUUCAUUUCGGAGGUUUUUCAAUGCUUUUUUCUAAGUUUUUAAAAUUCAUUUUUACAUCAAUAAAUUUUAAUUAAUAAUCGUUGAAUUAUUUAAAAGCGUAGUUUCAUUUCCGCAAUUGCUGCUCAUCAACAAAAGUAUGUCAUAUCUUUCCCGUUAAAAUCAAUUUUAAACCAAGAUGAUAUUUGAAUCAUAUUCCGAAUAGGUAAACUUAAACUGCGCCCUCCAAGCACGAAGCCCCUAAGAUGGUGAUUCCCGAUUGUUAUCAAACACUUCUUAGCUUUUUUUUUCUCCCCAGUUUUGUGUAGCUACGGUAUACUUAUUUUUUCAAAGGAGCCCAUUGAGUGUAGGAUUUUGUCUAUGGAAAAGCUCAGGAGAAGCCUUACAAAUCAGUAAGUAAUAACCCUUUCAUAUUGCCACGAUUGUCCCACGAGAGGUGUUGGAGCAUCAUUGAAUUGCUUAAUCAUCUGUCUUUUCAGGCAUACCUAAUUCUUUUAAAAGAGUCGCACAUCAGCGAUAUCAGAGUUUCAGAAUGCAACUGGGCAAAUUACGCCUGCAACAAGUGAUAGGUUACAAACUUUGAAAUUACUUCGAAUGAUAAUAGGGCAUGCUAACAAGCUAUAUAAAUGUUAUAAGCCGUUCCGAAUCAUAUUGGAUUAGCAGAACAAAAAAUGCAUUUUCCCGAACAUGUAAUGACUCACGAAAAAUAAAACAAUAUUGUCACAAAUGAAAGUAGAUAUACUCUUUUCUGUAAAUAAGUACAGCAUUAACGUUGUGAGGCUUCGUUAUUCAAAUUCUUAAAUCAGUCUGGAUUGUAUGGGACCUUAAGGUUCCUUAGGUCGAUGUGUUUCAUGUUGAGCUCGGUUAUUAUUUUGUGCUAUCUCGCCUUUCUAGCUGUUAAAAAAAUUAAAAUUGUUGUUGGUACAAACUGAAAUAACGCAUGAUUGUACAAUUUAUUAUUGCAUCAGUGAGCUGCCCACUGUCUUCUCACCUCAGUGCUUUUCUUUUUGUUUGACUCAUGUGGAAUAAACGAUGACAAUUUCCCGUUUGAAUUCUGUACAGAUUUUUUUUAUUACAAUAUAUUAAAGUAAUACUUUCUCUGGAAACCCAAGGGGAUGCGCCAGCAUAAAAAUUUAGUGAAAUUCCAUCAACCUGAAUAAAUAUAACUAGCUAUAUAAUUUAACAUUUUAAAUGUUACACA